GUUUACGGAGGACCUAAAUGCCACAAUAUGCAUAAAAAUGAGGAAAUAUGAUAAAAAAGAUGUGCAGUGGUAUGAUUGCCAAUGAGACAAAUAUCCAGAAAGACCACAAUGACACAGACAUUAACAACUAUAGCUCGACGUACAGCCUUCAACAAUGAGCAAAGCCCAUACCGCAUAGUCAGCUAUUAAAGGCCCCGAUAAGACAUUGUAAAAAAAUUCAAACGAAAAAACUAACGGCCUUAUUUAUGCAAAAUAAUGAACGAAAAACAAAUAUGUAACACAUAAACAAACGACAACCAAUAAAUUACAGACUCCUGACUUGGAACAGGCACGUACAUAAAUAAUGUAACGGGGUUAAACAUGUUAUCCAAUUUUGAAUAAUGAAAUGGAUAUUUUGAAUAAUGGAAUGGACUGCUGUG
rnacentral:lncRNA from 1 species